AAAAAAAAAACGUCAAAAAUUUUCAUCGAAAAAACGUGUUUUUCUUUAAACAAAUUUUAUCUAAUUAGAAUCAAUAAUUUCUCAAUCAAUAUUAAUAAGAACUACAUGUGCAUGGAUUGCCAGUUGGAUUGAUGUUUGUUUUAAGAAGAAAUUUCUCUCAAGGAAGAUAUCCACUCGAGAAAGGUUAUUGCAGCUUGCAGCAACAUCAUGUUUUAUCAAGUAUUGAAACACACAAAGGAUUAAAUCUUCAUUACAAUAUCAUUCAUAACUCCAUUUAAAUCAAUGGAAACUAAAUAUGGAUCGUUUCAUGGAGUAACAACAUACUUUGGAGUUUGGACCCAAAAUACAAUACACGUUAAUAUCGAACUUAUAAGGUGUUAAGCUGCAAUUACAAUAAAAGUGCUUGCUAUGGAAUCACCGGUGCUGAUCAUUAAUGUCAACUGUUACUUAAAAUCCAGAUGAACCAACCUUUACUUCCUAUUCAAAUAAGUUUAGAAGAAACCUAUAUAAGCAAUAAAACCAGACCAAGAAUGCUUGAUUACAAACGAUGAACUCAUUUCAUUUGCAAGUUAUGCCAUGACAUAAAUGCAUUAAAUUAGGAAGAUUUGUAUUAGAUGAAUUACCCAGAUAACAAUUAAAACAACUUCUGUUGAUAAGAACAUUUGAUUGGUGGAAUCCAGAUUCUGUGAAUGUACAUGUAAUUGAUUGACAAGGACACAUUUGACAAGGUGGUGAGAAACGUGUAGAUCUGGCCUGCUUACAGUGGCUAUUGGAUUGGACAGAACCAAAGUGAGAGUGAACGUGUGAAUUUAUGGAGAACAUUAAAAACUAUUUUACUAAAAGUCAUAACGCAACUUAUUUUGUAUGAGUUACAUACAAAUGUCAAGCCGUGAGUACAUUAUGUAAAAACUAAAACAAUGUACUGUAAUCACAACAGUAACUGUAAUCUUUUAAAAUCCAAUAGUUUUAAUGCUUAUUGAUUUUCUUAAACAAAAUAUUUCAUGUUAUAUUUCAUCAAUAAAGUUUCAUUUGAUACUUCAA